rnacentral:rRNA from 1 species
CCUACGGGAGGCAGCAGUGGGGAAUAUUGCACAAUGGGGGAAACCCUGAUGCAGCGACGCCGCGUGAGCGAUGAAGGAUUUCGGUAUGUAAAGCUCUAUCAGCAGGGAAGAAAAUGACGGUACCUGACUAAGAAGCCCCGGCUAACGACGUGCCAGCAGCCGCGGGAAUACGUAGGGGGCAAGCGUUAUCCGGAUUUACUGGGUUUACAGGGAGCGUAGACGGCGCUGCCAGCCAGAUGUGAAAGCCCGGGGCUCAACCCCGGGACUGCAUUUGGAACUGUAUAGCUGGCGUGUCGGAGAGGCAGGCGGAAUUCCUCGUGUAGCGGUUCAAUGCGUAGAUAUUAGGCGG